GAUGAACGCUAGCGGCAGGCCUAAUACAUGCAAGCCGAACGGUAAUUCUGAUAGCAAUAUUGGAACUAGAGUGGCGCAAGGGUGCGUAACACGUAUGCAAUCUACCCGCAACAGGAGGAUAGCUCCCCGAAAGGGGAAUUAACCCUCCAUGAGAUCACACGAGGGCAUCCGAGAGUGAUUAAAUUUGAGGAGGUUGUGGAUGAGCAUGCGACUGAUUAGCUAGUUGGCAGUGUGACGGACUACCAAGGCGAUGAUCAGUAGGGGAACUGAGAGGUUGAUCCCCCACACUGGCACU
rnacentral:rRNA from 1 species